CACGUAGGGCGCAAGCGUUGUCCGGAAUUAUUGGGCGUAAAGAGCUCGUAGGCGGUCUGUUGCGUCCGCUGUGAAAACCCGGGGCUUAACCCCUGGCUUGCAGUGGAUACGGACAGACUAGAGGUAGGUAGGGGAGAAUGGAAUUCCCGGUGUAGCGGUGAAAUGCGCAGAUAUCGGGAGGAACACCGGUGGCGAAGGCGAGUCUCUGGACAUUUCCUGACGCUGAGGCACGAAAGCCAGGGAGCAACGGG
rnacentral:rRNA from 1 species